GUAGGGAUGGAUAGCUGAGAAUAAAUUAAUUUAUAACUCAUACAUUUGCUAUAUCCUUUCCAUCAAAUAACAGAAGAGUUAAAGAAUUUCUUUAAAAAAUCACCAUUGAGCAAUCAUUUGAAAAUAUAAAAAGACCUUUUCACAUAAUGAACUACUCUACCAGCUAUAGUCUUUUGCUUGGGAUCUUAUCUUGCAUGUAAUCAUGCCCCAAGAAGACUAUUUUAGUCAUAUCUUUGAACAAAUUCUUGCAAGGCCCAAAUUCUAUUAAAUUUUCUAUAGUUCUUAUAUGCAUCUCAAAUUUCCCAUUCCUCUAGGCUUUUCUAAUGUGUUAUUGCCCUGGCCAAGGACACCUGCAAAGGAUCAUUCCUAAUAUCUUUUCGUGUCCUUUAUCUUUGUAAACUCCUAUUCAUGCAUCAGAACUUGACUUAAAGAUCACUUUUUCAGGGUAUAUCUUCCCUGACAUACAAAUUAGGUUAGAUUCACCUGAAAUAUCUUUAUUUAAAAUUCUUCAUUUUAAGAACAUUCAUUUUUAUUUGUUUUAAUUCCUUGCUUAACACCCAUUAUGUGCAGCAAGAAAACAAACACAAUAAUUAGUACAUAAUGAAUACAGUAGAGAUAACUCUAAUAUAAUCUUCCUCUUAUAUUAAUAAAACACUUUCUUACUUUGCUAUGUUUUCCUUAUAUCCAUUUCUACUGGGGAUAUUGUCUAAAAUAGUGAUAGGUGAAAAAGAACGCAAAACUUAAGAUUUAAAAUGUAUACUAAAAAUUCUUUAUUUAAAUGAAUACAUUAUAGUCUUUCUUGUGAUUCACUAGUUAUAUUUACUUCCUUUUGCUAUUUCAGAGGUGUUGCUGUUACUUAAGAAAGCAGCACCACAGAGUUAAUGUGUUUUUAAUUUAGCCAGCUUUCUUUCUGAGUGCUUUUUAAGUUUGGUUGAUAAACCAAUCUAGUUUCUUCACAGGUACUGCCAUACUGUAAGAUAGUACUUCGUGAGGAGUAGCUUUACAUUAUUUUUUUCCUUGAUGCCUCACUGAUGAUUCCAAAUAAAGUUUACUGGGUAAUUUGGAGAAUAUGGGGCAGUUUAACCACACAGAAUGUCAUACAGGCUGCUGCUGAGUCUUUUGCUAAUCUAAGCAAGCUCUCUAAAGUUAGAGGCAAACUGUUUACUUAAAACAUUAAAGAAUCAUUUUGCAGUAUUUAAGUAAAAAGGAGUAAGCAGUGGGAAUAGAGAAAAUUGUAUCCGCAGUUCUUAAAAUAAUUUUAUAUCAAAAUCACUGGAUAUGGAAGUCAUGAUCAUUAAAACGUGCACACCUGCUUAUAUUUGAUUGUAACCUUAUAUUUGAUUAUAACCAUCUAUAUUCUCCACAUACACCUAAUUCACCUGCACUAAAGUUUUGCUUUGAUGACUGUACAUUCAAAUUUCUGCAGAUGUUCUUAGAGCAUAUAUUUAUGAAAAUAACAUCCUAAACAAUCAUUUAAAAUUUACUUGAGUGCAAUAACUGUAUGUAGGCAAAUAUAUUCAUUUCUUUACAAAUAAGCAUUUAUUUUGUUUAUUCAAUUAGAUCUUUUACAAAGGGAGUCUAGUCUAUAAAAUGUUAACACUGACUUAAUAUUCACAAAAAGUAUAUUAAUAUUUCUAUAUUAACUAUGAAAGAUAAAUUACAUUAUGUAUUGAAUACUAAUAUCAUUUCACUUAUUUUUGACAAACAAGCGUAUGACUUCUAUGUAAGAGUUCAUUAUUCAUAUAUGAAUAAUGCAUUAUAUUUAUAUGAUAUACUAUAAGAUUCUUUGAUAUUCACACUAUUUUGUUGGGUUGUUCUAGAAAUACUGAACAUUAGUAGAAGUGCUACUAGCCCUAUAUGGCAAGUAAGGAAUCCGAGGCUCAGAUCAGUUAGAUAAUUUAUCAGAAGUCAAGUAGCUAGUAAACAAUUAGGUCAUAGAUUAACUCUGGGCUUUCUGUUUUAGUGGCCUGUACUCUCUCUCCACUGAAAAAUAUUUUUAUUCAAUAAAUGAUGCUAAAACAAAUGGACAUUACAUUCAAAAAAAUGACUUGAGACAUAAGCCAUAUACCCUUCACAAAAUUAAUAAAAAAUGGAUAACAGACCUAAAUAUAAAGUGCAAAACUAUAAAACUCCUAGAAUAUAACAUAGGUAAAAACUUAAAUGACCUUGGGUAUGGUGAUGACUUUUUAGAUACAAUACCAAAGGGAAUAAUCUAUGAAAGAAAGAAUAGAGAUGUUGGACUUCACUAAAAUUAAAACUCCUGCUCUGCAAAUAAUUCUGCCAAGAAAAUGAAAUGACGAACCACAGACUGACAGAAAAUAUUUGCAAAAGCCAUAUAUAAUAAAAGGCCAUUAUCCAAAAUGUUCAAUGAAGUCUUAAACCUCAACAAUAAAAAGCAAAAAACCUGAGUUAAAAAAAAAAUAGUAUUUGGCCUGAACACACACCUCAUCAAAAAGGAUACACAGAUGACAAAGAGCAUAUGAAAAGAUGCUCCACAAUAUAUGUCUUUUGGAAACUGCAAAAUUAAAACAACAAUCAGAUACCCUGCAAGCCUAUUAGAUGGUCAAAAAUUCACAACACUGACAACACUAAAUGCUGGCAAGGAUGUGGAGCAAUGGGAGCUCUCUUUCAUUGGUGGUGGGAAUGCAAAAUUGUACAGCAUUUUGGAAGAGAGUUUGGCAAUUUUUGGCACACACAGCAAGGAACUGAAGAAGUCUUCUGGCCCACAGGUCAUCAGCAACUGAGGCCUCAGUACAGCCAGCAAGGAAGUGAAUCUUGUUAACAGUCAUGUGAAUCAGAGGUGAAGAAAAGAAGUCUUCCAGGAAAGAUACUUAUGUACAGCUAAGUCAUAUGGAAAUAGUACCCUUUGGUUCUCUCUCUUCCCUUUUUUUACUUAUCUGAAAUGAAAAUAUGAGGACUGAACUUCGACUCUAUCUUGGGUGACAAGAAGAACUGAAGUAGGAAGGAAUCCUAUGCUAAGGAUGAGAGAGAAAUAAGACAGCCCACACUCCACUCCCUUCCCCCAACACCAAAUGUGAGCCUAUCAUUCAACCCACAGAAGACUUUUUAUAAAUGAGAGAGAAAUGAAUCUCUAAUGUGUUCUUGCAGCUUAUUUGCUUUUUUAUUUUAGGAAUUGAAUCUUAUUCUAAACUGAUACAGUGUCUCUAUUUACUUUGCUUUGGUGUCCUAAGUAGAAACUAUAAAUACUAUUUAGACUUAUUGCAAUAGGCAAAGGGCAUAUUUUAAAUCAUAUUAUGGAUAUCUGCAACUGUGUAUCUUUUAGUUUUACAGCAUGUAUUGUCAUAGUUAUUAUUGUAAUCAUAAUGCACUGAAACUUUACAUCAUUUUCAACCAUAUACUAAUAGCGAAAUAACAUAAAUAUGUUAUUUUCUCUUUCUCUGCUCCUCUCCGUAUCUAUGUAUUUACUUCCUUUAUAUUAUUCUUAACUUCUUAGGUGAGGAACAAUGCUUUAAAUGACCAUGGACUUCUUAUCAGACAUUUAUGACAGCCAGAAGACCAUGGAACAGCAUCUCAAAAGUACUAAAGGAGAGCCACAAAACCAGAAUUCUAUAUCUAGCAAAAAUAUAUUUCAGAAAUGAAGACAAAAUAAGAAAAUUAUCAGGUGAAGGUAAACCAGAAAUAUUUACUGUUGACAUAUCUAAAAGAAAUGUUAAAAGAAGUUUUUUAGGCUAGAGGGAAAUAACUAACACCAGGGGGAAAUAUGAACCUUCAGGAAUAAAGAAAGAACAACAUAAAUGGUAAAUAUCUAGAUAAACAUAAAAGAUAAUUUUUCUACUUUUAGUUUUUAAAAAAUAUGUAUAACUCUUGAAAGAAAACAUUCUUAUCUGGUGGAGUUUUCAAUGUACAUGAAUGUAAUAUAUAUGACAACUAUAACAUAGAAGCCACUAGGGGAUAGUAAAAUGAUGUAUGGGACUAUAAGUAUUUUACAUCUUACUUGAAAUAUUAAGUUAUUAACUCAAGAAAGUGUGAUAAUUUAGGCACAUAUAUUGCAAUCCCUAGGAAAAAAUACAAAAAUAUAAAAAGGUUACAGAUAGGAAGCCCACAAAUUAAACAGUAUACUAAAUACUUACAAAAAAAGGAGAAAAUGAGAAGUAGAGGCACAAAGUAAGAAUAUGCACUAUAUAGAAUAUACUAUUUGAAGUACUAGCCCAUAAGUUCUAGCCCAUAAAAUUAAGUCCGUGAUGUGAGAAAAUUUUGGCUUAAGAGAAAAUGGAGUAAGCCACAGAGUAGAAGAUUCAGUGCAGAUGAGUGAACCCUUAAAAUGAUGUAGAAGAGAGAAGCUGAAUUGGGUAGACAGUAAAUUACAAUGAACAAAUAGAAUACUGCCUUUGUUUACUAUCAUUCAAAGUAUUAUAUGUUACAUAGUAUUACUUGAAAAUGCUAUGAACCAUGGAAGUGGAUUUUUCCAAAUCAUAGAAUUCACUAAUCUAACAAUUAUGGCAUUUAUAAAUACUAUUGAUAAUAUUAGUAAACAUUUUUAAUACAGUUUUUAUCAUAUAAACAUUUUGGUACAUGUUAUUUCUUUUAAGUGCCAAUAGUUUUUGUAUUUUAACUGCAUAUGGCAAAGUAUUUUCCUAAAAUAUUAGAACAUUUAUCAAUGGUGCAUACUUUACCUCUUCGUAAAGUUAAGUUAAUGCUCUAAUUUUUAAAAAUGUUCCCAUUAGGGCACCAAUUGUAGGAUGGAGUGGAAUAAAAUGAUAAUCUCAGAAACUUUUGCCUCUAUACUUUGUCUCCUUCCUAUGUGUCUGCCUCCAGCGACUGUAGGCCAUUUGAAGAUUACUAUUGCUGCUAUUCUGGUUACCUAGAAAAUGAGACAGAUUAUAAGGCCUAUGAAAAGACUUAACUUUGUUUAUGUAGAAUUUUCAUUAAAUUUGCUAAAGGGAAGUGCCUAAGGAGGUUUCCUGUCUUUAGCAAAUAUAUUUAUUGGUGACCAGAUCCUUUUUUGCCUUACCUUCACAGUUAUUUCUCUAACAUCUGAGGUUUUGGUAGUCUGAUUUUUAGCUAAGUAUGAUAUUUAAUUCAAUUAAAAGUCUAUAUUCAUUAAAGAAGGCUUACAUUAAGAAGAAUGAAGUUCUAAUUUAUUUUCAUCCAUCUAUAUAUAUUAUUGUUGUGUUAUAUAACUAAAAUCUUACUAUUAUAGAUUUUUUUUCUUCUAGCUUAAAAGUUCCAAGUGUUCUAUCUUAGUAAUAUGAUUUAUUCUGGAGGAGAGGGAUGUUGUAACAAAUACUUUCCAGUACAAACUAAGAUAUUUGCAUUUUCAAGUUUUGUAUUAGAAGCAGUUUUGAGUCUUAGUAGUCUUAUAAAAUUAUGAUUAAGUGACCAACAAGUAUAAAUUUUGAGUCACAGAUAUUUAAUUACAGUCGAGUUAAAAGAAGAAAGAAAAUGAAAUAAUUGGAAAAAGAUCUUUCACAGGAAGAAUGUCUUAUUGUUAGUACGGAAGAGAAAUAAAAUGAGAAAGAGAGGAAGGGAGGAAGAAGCUAGAUAUUUAUUUAUUUACGUAUUUAUUUAUUUAGAGAUGGAGUCUCGCUCUGUUACCCAGGAUGGAGUGCAAUGGUGCAAUCUCAGCUCACUGCAUCCUCCGCCUCCCAGGUUGAAGCAAUUCUCCUGCCUCAGCUUCCCAAAUACCUGGGAUUACAAGCAUACGCCUCCACGUCCGGCUAAUUUUUUGUGUUUUUAGAAGAGGCAGGGUUUCAUCAUGUUGGCCAGGCUAGUCACGAACUCCUGACCUCAAGUGAUCUGCCUGCCUCAGCCUCCCAAAGUGCUGGGCUUACAGGCAUGAGCCACUGCACCGGGCCUGAUUUCUUUUUUGUGUGUGUGAAAGUAGGAAUGGAGAGCAAUCACCAAGAAAUCCGAAAUGACAUCCAGACAGCAAGUAAUGCCAACUCUGACAAACCACUGCUGUGAUCAGAGUUUGCACCUCUUUAAGAUUUCAGAUGUUGAUUCUUUCUUCAUGCAUAUUCCCAUUAGAACAUUUAUCACUGAUACAUAUUUCCUAAUAGCUAAAAGUUUACUCAUUACCAGAGAUUGAUGGAGAAAACAAUGUUACAAUUAAGAAAAGAUCUUGGACCUGUCAUAAGAAAAGAGACACCAUUUGGAAUAAGAAGACCAAGAAUAUGCCAUUUACUGCCUUCAAGAGCCUUGAGAAACUGCAUAAAGCAGUCUUAGGAGGAUGAAUUCAAAUAAUGGCAAUAUUGCAUAAUAAUGUUAUUUUUAAAAGAUUAAAAGAAAUUCUGCCUACUGCAUCAUUUAUUAUUAAACUGUAUAUUAAGACUUUCUAAAUUUGCUUCCCUAAGAUAGAGUGAUAUUCAAUCAUUUUUGCUUUAAUGAAUAAAGUCCAUCUUUAAUAAGUAAUUGCAAGUGGGAGAGAAUCGGGCCUUUUUAGGUCAAAUAUACUUGAGACAUGAGGGUUCACAAAAUCUGACUAUGGAGAAUUUGCAUGAUAGGGUUCACUGUGCAACAGAAAGCAGAAGUUUCUAUCAAUGGAUAAAAUGAAAAGCAAGAUUGUGUCACAGAUUUUUUGUUUCUUUGCUGCUAUAUAAUGCCAUACUCCCCUCUGACCCUCUUCCAAAGUAUCCCCAGGGUAGACUAUACUAACGAGAUCCUUUUUCAGCAAAAGAAAGUCAGGCACUAUUCACAAUAGCAAAGACUUGGAACCAACACAAAUGUCCAAAAAUGAUAGACUGGAUUAAGAAAAUGUGGCACAUAUACACCAUGGAAUACUAUGCAGCCAUAAAAAAUGAUGAGUUCAUGUCCUUUGUAGGGACAUGGAUGAAGCUGGAAACUAUCAUUCUCAGCAAAUUAUCGCAAGGACAAAAAACCAAACACCGCAUUUUCUCACUCAUAGGUGAGAAUUGAACAAUGAGAACACAUGGACACAGGAAGGGGAACAUCACACACCGGGCCUGCUGUGGGGUGGGGGGAGGGGGGAGGGAUAGCAUUAGGAGAUAUAACUAAUGCUAAAUGAUGAGUUAAUGGGUGCAGCACACCAGCAUGGCACAUGUAUACAUAUGUAACAAACCUGCACAUUGUGCACAUGUAUCCUAAAACUUAGAGUAUAAUAAUAAUAAUAAAAGAAAGGAACAGAAAUGUUUAAACCUCCCCCUUGACUAGAAGUAAUUAAGUAACUAAAUUACAAAUACACACACUUACAUCUGGGGAGGUUAAACUGAUUUUAUGAAUUGUAUAAAUGACAAGGAUUCAUACUCUGGCUUUUCAGGUUUUCUUUUUUUUUUAUAAGAAAGCCCAUCAUUUAACAGUAAAUAGAGGUUUUCUAGUGUGUCAAAUGGGGAUAUGGUCAGAUUAAUGGCGAAUUCAAUGCUAUGCAUGUUUUUACCCUAUCUCUUUUUAUUUUUGCAAGAUGUGGACACCUUUUAAAUGCAUUAGUUUCUUCCUGCAUUGUACAAAGCAAAUAAAUAGGUUCUUUAAAUUCCAACCAGUCAAUAAUUGAAAUAUAUGCACAAAAAGUAUAUGUAUAAAAACACAUGUAAACUGAUCAAGUGUCCUAAAAACACAUUUAAAAUAAAAAUACAAAGUUAGAAGUUUAGCACUUAACUGAAUAUAUGUUAAUAUGCAUUAUAAAAAUAGUAAACUCAUAUAACAGAGAUAGUAUAGCUUGAAAAUUAAGGACUAAAGUCAGAAUGCUCUUUUUCAGCUCCCCAAUACUCCUAUUUAUUUGCAAUGUAACUUUUGAUAAACUUCUCAAACUCUUUAAAACUUAGGUUCCUCAACUGCAAAAUGGAAGGAAACUAAUCACUAACUCAAACAUUUGUUUUAGUGAUUAAAUAAAAUAUAGUAAAAAGUUUUUAGUAGAAUACUCAGGAUAUAAAAUUCUAUAAAUAAUUACCAAAUAGAAUUUGGUUGCGAAAUGGUCACAAAGAUAAUUGCAGAGAAUACUGGAAAAAUAAUUGACAAAAAUUUAUAUAUUAUUUAAAAGAUUGAAGUUUACAAUGCAUGCAGAAAAAUGCAUAAAGUCAUUAUAAAAUUGAGGUGUUAAUGUGAUUUUUACUACACAAGUUGGAAUAACUGCAUAAUUUCAAAUAUAAUAAAUUGUUAGUCAUCAAUUUGAAAAGAUUUUAUGAAAAAAGCCAUGAUUUUAUGACACAGAAUCUAUAUGUUGUAUAGAAAGCAUGAAUUAUAUUUCAUUUUAGUUAUGGUCUCUCUUUUCUUGAUAUAAUUAACAUUUAAAAUAUGUUUUCAAGGGUAUAUUGUUCAAUGUCACUAUAAAUAAUUUAUGUUAAUAGAAAAGCAGAAAUUAAAAAUGUGAUAGCCAAUAUUUUGGGUACAGCAACUUUCAUGACAAUCAUUUCUUUUGAAUAUAUCUGCUAUAAAUACAAAUUGAUACAAAGUAAGCAUGAUAAACUGUCAUGAAUUUUAAACUAUUUAAUUAUCAUCAUUAUAAUUGCCAUGAAUUAUUGUACACUCACCAUUUACCGAGAAUUUCUGUGUUAUUUUUUACUUUGUGUGUUUUUUAUUGUGUAUAUUUAAGGUGUACAACAUGAUGUUUUGAUAUGCAAGUAGAUAAUGAAAUGAUUACUAUAGGUAAACACAUUCACACAUCCAUCACCUUCCAUAGUAAUGUCUCAUUGUACAUGUGUGCACGUGUGUCUGUGUGUUAACAGUACCUAAAAUCUACAUUUUAUCAAAUUUUCAGUAUAAAAUACAAUAUGAUGCAAUAUUCUUUAUACAUUACGUAAAAAUGUAGACCAAGGGUAGAUUCACAAAUUAUGCAUCUGACAAAGGUUUAAUAUCUAGAAUCUAUAAGGAGCUUAAACAAUUGAACAAGCAAAAUACAAAUAACCCCAUUAAAAAUGGGCACUUCUCAAAAGACACUUCUGAAAAGAAGACAUACAAGUGGCCAAGAAACAUAUGAAACAAUGCUCCACAUCACUAAUCAUCAGAGAAAUGCAAAUCAAAACCACAAUGAAAUACCAUCCCAUUUUCUGUUACUAUUAGAAAAUAAAAAAUAACAGAUGCUGGUGAGGCUUUGGAUAAAAGGGAAAGCUUAUAUACUGUUGUUGGGAAUAUAAAUUAGUUCAGUCCCUGUGGAAGGCAGUUUGGAGAUUUCUCAAAGAACUUAAAACAGAACUACCAUUUCACCCAGCCAUCCCACUCCUGGGUUUAUAUACCCAAAGGAAAAAAAAAAUUUAUCAAAAAGACACAUGUAUUUGUAUGUUAAUUGCAGAGCUAUUCACAAUAAUAAAGACAUGGAAUCAACCAAGGUGCCCAUCAAUGGUGGAUUGGAUAAAGAAAAUAUGGUACAUAUAUACCAUGGAAUAAUACACAGCCAUAAAAAGGAAAAAAAUUAUGUCAUUUGCAGCAACAUGGAUGGAACUGGAGGACACUGUCCUAAGCAAAUUAAUGCAGGAACAAGAAAGAAAUAUAGCAUGUUCUCACAUGUAAGUGGGAGUUAAGCCUUGGGGACUGAUGAAUAUAAAGAUGUUAGCAGUAUAGACUGGGGGAUACUACACAGGGAAAUGAUGAAGCGGGGCAUGGACUGAAAAACUACCUAUUGGGUACUAUGCUGACCAUCUGGGUGAUGGAACCAUCCAUAUCACAAACCUCAGCAUCAUGCAAUAUACUCAUGCAGCAACCCUGAAAAUUUAACCCCUGAAUCCAAAAUGAAAAAUAAAUAUAUAUAUAUUUGUACUUAUUAUAAGUGAAAAUAUACUUAAUAUUUUCAGAUCAUUUAUUGGUUGUAUUUAUAAGUAAAAUUGACUUUUGUACAUUGAAAAAAAAGAAAAUGUGGUCUAUAUACAACAUGGUAUACUAUGCAGCCAUUAAAAAAACCUUGUUAUUUGCAGUGACAUGAAUGAAAUUAGAGGCCAUUAUCAUAAGAUAAUUAAAGCACAAAUAGAAAACCAAAUACCACAUAUUCUCACUUAUAAGUGGGAGCUAAAUAUUGAGUUCUCAUGGGCAUAAAGAGGACCAUAGUAGAAACUGGGGACUACUAGAGGAGGAAGAGAGAAAGGGGGAACAAGUGUUGAAAAGCUACCUACUGGGUGAUAAGAUCAUUGGUACCCAAGCCUCAGCAUCAUGCAAUACACCCAGGUAACAAACGUGCACAUGUACCCGCUGAAGCUGAAAUAAAAGUUGAAAGAAAAACGCAGAUAAAAAAAUGUCCUUUUUCUCUUUAUAUAUAUAUAUUUUUAUUAUACUUUGAGUUCUAGGGUACAUGUGCACAACGUGCAGGUUUGUUACAUAUGUAUACAUGUGCCAUGUCGGUGUGCUGCACCCAUUAACUCGUCAUUUACAUUAGGUAUAUCUCCUAAUGCUAUCCUUCCCCUCUCCCCACACCCCACAACAGGCCCCGGUGUGUGAUGUUCCCCUUCCUGCGUCCAAGUGUUAUCAUUGUUCAAUUCCCACCUAUGAGUCAGAACAUGCGGUGUUUGGUUUUUUGUCCUUGCAAUAGUUUGCUGAGGAUGAUGGUUUCCAGCUUCAUCCAUGUCCCUUAAAGCAGAUUAAUGUAUAAAACAGUCUUCGAACUAACUUGGACUUACAAAUUUGCACAUUUUCUUUUAAGAGCAUUUCAUAUUUUCUACUUUACUUCCGAAUUUUCAAGCUGAGAAAUUUUGUUUAUAAUUUUAUUUUCUGUGGAUUUUAUAAGGCACUACAAGAUCACUGUAGAUUAAAAAUUAAAUAGUAAACAGUCCCUAACUUCAAGUUGUUCAUAAUUUAUCACAGGCACUGAGGUGGAUGCCUAAAUGGCAUACUCAUAUACAGGAGAGAGGUCAGAGGCCAGUCUAGCAACUGAAUUUUGUGGAUUUGUCAGUAAGAAUUAGAAAAGUAGUUGUGAUGUUCAUGACAAUAGGGUGAAAGAAAGAUGUAAAAGAUGUCAUGUGAAGACUGAAAAGUAUUUUCCUUUUUGAGUUAGACACAAUAGUAUGUAGUCUUUUUCAGUCUGUUUUAAAGCCCUUAGGCAUGAACAGUAAUGUAUUCAGGAUCUGUGGAACAGGUAACAUAGUGAACUGCCAGAGCGAGGAGAACCAAGAAGUGGAAAAGAGCAGUGAACUAAGUAAAUCCUUAGAUCUAUGUCAUCUCAAAUUGGCAAAUUUGCUGAUAUUGUGAUUGACUUAAGUAUCAAUAAUAUCAACAAAAAUAUUGGUAGUUCAUCUAAAUUUUAAAAUUCAGGUUUUUCUGUUGUUUUCUUUAAAUAUCUAAGUCAGUUCCCCACUUACUGCCCAUGGCAAUUCAAAUUCCCUGAUUAACACUGGAGCUUUUUGCAAGAUUUGAAAAUCUUUCUCAAGAUCAUAGUUUAUUCAACCUUUGUUUUGAAUUUUUCAAGUAAUUCAAACCUCACAACCAUAUUAUGCUAUUAUUAAUAACCAUUUUAAAGAAACUGAGGAAGGGAUAUUGAAAUAGCUUCUCAGAUCUAUCCAACUAUUAAUAUUAAGUAAUGUGAAAAAGAAUAAAACCCAGAAUGUCUAAAUUAUUUAAUAUCUAUUUUUAAAAUAAAGUCCUGAGUUAUUCCAGAAUAAAUUAUUUAACCUAGUCCUAAGAUUAAAAUUUUUGUUUUGAAAUCUCACAUAUUUGAAGGACACGUGACUUUUUUACACCACAUUGUCUGAAUUAAUUAGCAAAGGUAUUGCAAGCAAACCAACAGCAUAAUAGUGAACACUUCCUCAUAUCUUAAAAAAUCAAAUUCUAUAGACUUUCUAAACUAUGAAAAAUUUACAUUUGUCAUUCAACAAACUUAUUCUGUGUCAGUACCUGUUUCAUCCAUUUAGAUGCAACAGUGUAUGAAAACAGACAAAGAUUUCUGUUCUUAAAAGUUUACAAAGAGGAGAGCCUGCCAAUAUAAAAAUGAAUAUAUAAAUUUUGAAGUAUGCAAGAAAUUAAUCAAUACUAUAAAGAAAUAGUAGAGCAAGGAAAGCAUUUUUAAUACUAUCUAGAAUUUUCAAAUCUUCUUAUGGUUUAAAGUAUAGUCAUGAUACUCUCUUGGGUAAAGUGAGUAGGGCUGGUAGGUGCCUGCAUGUAUGCAUGUGUGUGUGUGAAUAACUGUGUAUUGCUAUUUAGAAGAGUUAGGGUGGUCAAACUCUAAAAAGAUUCACAUUGAAAUAGUCAUCUUCUAAAAGGUCACAUGAUAUGUUACCUUAGCUAUUUUUUUUAUACUUGAAAUACCUUGGGCAGUAACAACUCUUCCCAAAUUUGAUUUAAAUGAUAAAAAGAAAGAUCAGUGAAUGACUAUAGUUAUAAAAAAUGUCUAUAACAACUGUCAGCAAUCUCCAGCAAUUUAUGGUACUCUUUGUAAGCGAAAUGACUUUAUUAUAGAGCAAGAGUGGAGCCUUUUCACUUUCAAAGUUACCUACAUCUAGCUGCAAUUGUUGGUAGGAUUAAGCCUCAUCAAAAAUAAAAUUGGGAGUAAGGAAAAAUCCUAGAAAUCAAAGUUGCAAAAAAGACUAGAAUAGAAAACUGAUCACACUUUGGAAGUUACUCUGACUAAACACUGAAAAACAAAAUGCCUUUUUAAUACUUAUUAUUAUCAUUAACUUUGGAAAGAGAAAGGAUCCUAAGUUAAUUUAACCGUUAGUCAAUUUUACAUGAAUACAUAAUACCCUAAAUAAAUAUCUUGUUCAUUAGGUAAGCAUAUAGUUUUAUGAUAAAAUUUAAAAUCUAUGCUUCUAUUAUGAUUCAAAUUUACACAAAUUUAUUUGGAAGACACAGUCAUAUUAUUUUUAUUUUCUAUAAAAGUUUUGGAAAAAAAUACACUAAAGAAAUACUGCAUUGUAAAAACCACUCUUGCCAUUAGAGAACAUGUAAGUGUUCUUUCAUGUAUAAGUAAUAAAGAAUCAACAUUUGCUGCUUUUGGAAACAAAAUGAAACAAGAGAGGAAAUAUGUCUAGCUUUUAGGGCAAUUUGGUAAUAUUUGAGAAACACAGCCUGACAACUCAAAGGGUAUUUUUUAAUGUUUAUGUAAAUGUAUACAUAUGCAUACAUGUGUACAUAUAAGUAUAUAUAUCCAACAUAUAAACAUGUAUGUAUGUAUACAUAUAUAGAUAUGUACACAUAUACAUAUGUAUGUAUACAUAUAUAGAUAUGUACACAUAUACGUAUGUAUACAUAUAUAGAUAUGUACACAAAUACAUAUGUAUGUAUACAUAUAUAGAUAUGUACACAUAUACAUAUGUAUGUAUACAUAUAUAGAUAUGUA
rnacentral:lncRNA from 10 species